AGAGUAAAAUAGUACGUGAAAUUGUUGAAAGGGAAACGAUUGAAGUCAGUCGUACCGACGAGAAAUCAGCUCUUCGAGUGCGAACUUGUGGGCGUGCGUGAGUCUUUAACGGGCCUCGCUGUUUGCAAUUUUGUGCUUUUUGGGUGUACUUUUUCGUAUGGUAGGCCAACGUCAGUUUCGAUCACCGUAAAAUGAUCGGAGGAAUGUAGCUUCGAUCUCGUAUUGAAGUGUUAUAGCCUCUGGUAGAUGCGGUGACCGAAACUGAGGAUUGCAACGAAUACCCUUUUGGGCUAUCCGUCUGGCCUCUGAAAGUUGCUUAGGUGCCGAAAGCGUGCUUACGGCUAUUUAAGUUGACGGUCAACAGGUUAGAACGUGAUUACAUUCGUUAAGGACGUUGGCGUAAUGGCUUUAAACGACC
rnacentral:ncRNA from 2 species